GUCGGGAUAGCUCAGUUGGUA
rnacentral:tRNA from 21 species